GAAAUGCGAUAAGUAAUGUGAAUUGCAGAAUUCAGUGAAUCAUCGAAUCUUUGAACGCACCUGGCGCUCCUUGGUAUUCCUUGGAGCAUGCCUGUUUGAGUAUCAUGAAAUCUUCAAAGUAAAUCUUUUGUUAACUCAAUUGGUUUCUACUUUGGUAUUGGAGGUCUUUGCAGCUUCACACCUGCUCCUCUUUGUUCAUUAGCUGGAUCUCAGUGUUAUGCUUGGUUCCACUCGGCGUGAUAAGUUAUCUAUCGCUGAGGACACUGUAAAAGGUGGCCAAGGUAAAUGCAGAUGAACCGCUUCUAAUAGUCCAUUGACUUGGACAAUACUUUUAUGAUCUGAUCUCAAACCAGGUAGGACUACCCGCUGAACUUAAGC
rnacentral:misc_RNA from 1 species